rnacentral:rRNA from 1 species
GUCUACGGCCAUGCCACCCUGAACAAGCCCGAUCCCGUCUGAUCUUGGAAGCAAAAAAUGGUCAGGCCUGGUUAGUACUUGGAUGGGAGACCACCUAGGAAGACCAGGUGCUUUAGGCA